AUUGAACGCUGGCGGCAGGCCUAACACAUGCAAGUCGAGCGAGCGGCGGACGGGUGCGUACUGUAUGGGGACUGCCCGUUAGAGGGGGAUAACUGCGGGAAAAGGUGUCGAAUACCGCACACAGUCCGCUACGCCUGAUGGGGUUAGCUAGUAGGUAAGGUAAUGGCUUACCUAGGCAACGAUCCCUAGCUGGUCUGCGAGGAUGAUCAGCCACACUGGGACUGAGACACGGCCCAGACUCCUACGGAGGCAGCAGUGGGGAAUAUUGCACAAUGGGCGCAAGCCUGAUGCAGCCAUGCCGCGUGUAUGAAGAAGGCCUUAGGGUUGUAAAGUACUUUCAGUCGGGAGGCGUUACCGACAGAAGAAGCACCGGCUAACUCCGUGCCAGCCGCCGCGGUAAUAC
rnacentral:rRNA from 1 species